UACGGGGGGAGCAAGCGUUGUUCGGAUUUACUGGGCGUAAAGGGCGCGUAGGCGGUCGUGACAAGUCACUUGUGAAAUCUCCGGGCUUAACUCGGAACGGUCAAGUGAUACUGUCGGACUAGAGUACAGAAGGGGCAACUGGAAUUCUCGGUGUAGCGGUGAAAUGCGUAGAUAUCAAGAGGAACACCUGCGGCGAAGGCGGGUUGCUGGGCUGAUACUGACACUGAGAGACGAAAGCUAGGGGAGCAAAUGGG
rnacentral:rRNA from 1 species